AUAUUGUCGGUGGGAAAUUAGUGUGAAAUUCACUUGCUGUUCCUGCAACGGUUAAAGUCCGAAUGCCACCCAAUAA
ncrna:unclassified sequences AdoCbl variant RNA